rnacentral:misc_RNA from 1 species
GAUGAAGAACGCAGCGAAAUGCGAUAAGUAAUGUGAAUUGCAGAAUUCAGUGAAUCAUCGAAUCUUUGAACGCACAUUGCGCCCGCCAGUAUUCUGGCGGGCAUGCCUGUUCGAGCGUCAUUUCAACCCUCAAGCCCAGCUUGGUGUUGGGGAUCGGCACAGGCGCCCUCGGGCGCCCGCCGUCCCCUAAAUCUAGUGGCGGUCCCGCUGCAGCCUCCUCUGCAUAGUAGUUUUCUCCUCGCAAGGGCAGCUCGGUGGCGACCUCGCCGUAAAACCCCCAACUUCUGAAAGGUUGACCUCGAAUCAGGUAGGAAUACCCGCUGAACUUAAGCAUAUCAAUAAGCGGAGGA